UCAAGAAACUUCCACAAUGGGCGAAAGCCUGAUGGAGCGACGUCGCGUGAUGGACGAAGUGCUUCGGCACGUAAACAUCUUUUAUGUGGGAUGAAAUUAUUGACAGUACCACAUGAAUAAGGGGCUCCUAACUCUGUGCCAGCAGGAGCGGUAAUACAGAGGGUGCAAGCGUUAAUCGGAAUUACUGGGCGUAAAGCGCGCGUAGGUGGUUUGUUAAGUUGGAUGUGAAAGCCCCGGGCUCAACCUCGGAACUGCCUUCAAAACUGGCGACCUGGACCCAAGUAGGGGCAAGUGGAAUUGCGAGUGUAGAGGUGAAAUUCGUAGAUAUUCGCAGGAACACCAGUGGCGAAGGCGACUUGCUGGACUUGUGGUGACGCUGAGACGCGAAAGCGUGGGGAGCAAACAGGAUUAGAUACCCAUGUAGUCCCUGAGCGGGCUGGCAAGGCGCAU
rnacentral:rRNA from 1 species